rfam:Astyanax mexicanus Tnplaced_Scaffold_105, whole genome shotgun sequence.
GGCUCCAUAGCGCAGUGGUUAGACCGCUGAUCUAGUAAACCAGAGGUUGCGAGUUUGAUCCUUGCUGGAGCCU